rnacentral:lncRNA from 1 species
CAAAAGCAAAAAAAUCUUGCAAACUAACAAAUUUAAUAGGGUAGGUAAUUUAUAAAAGAAACAUAUCAGUUUAUUAAAUAAAGUUGGUGUAGUGUCUUUGAAAUAAAUGAUUAUAUCAUGGAUACUCCAAUGCAUGGUUUACUAAUGUGUCGUGUCUUAUAUAAUUGUCAAUGCUCAAAAUCAAACAUGAAUUUUAGUAGACCAUUAUUUUCUUCAGAAAGAGGUAA